CCUACGGGCGGCAGCAGUGAGGAAUAUUGGUCAAUGGGCGCUAGCCUGAACCAGCCAAGUAGCGUGAAGGAUGACUGCCCUAUGGGUUGUAAACUUCUUUUAUAUGGGAAUAAAAUGCAGUAUGUAUACUGCUUUGCAUGUACCUUAUGAAUAAGGAUCGGCUAACUCAUUCCCAGCAGCCGCGGUAAGACGGAGGAUGCGAGCGUGAUCCGGAUGGAUUGGGUUUGAGGGGUGCGUAGGCGGAUUUUUAAGUCAGCGGUAAAAUGUCCGGGCUCAACCCGGGACGGCAGUUGACACUGGGGAUCUUGAGUGGGCGAGAGGUAUGCGGAAUGCGUGGUGUAGCGGUGACAUGCAUAGAUAUCACGCAGAACUCCGAUUGCGAAGGCAGCAUACCGGCGCCCGACUGACGCUGAGGCACGAAAGCGUGGGGAGCGAACAGGAUUAGAUACCCUUGUAGUC
rnacentral:rRNA from 1 species